AACCUUCAUGCUACGUGUGCAAUAAGGAACAAGCUGAAGUUAUUGUCUUGAAUAAGACUCGCUCUUGGCUAGAAGUACACAGCUCUUGAGUCAAUUGAAUUGUUGAAAUGAAGUAGGAAUCAAUGUUCAGGUUCCAGCCAUUUCGGAUGUAGGAGCUGGGGUGCAUGACCAGACCGUAGGCCAGAAUCUUUAGAAAGGUUUCUACAAUGAAGAAGACCAGAAAGAUGUACUCCACUUGUUCCUGUAGACACAGAGGAAUCAUCAAUCUGAACAAUUUUAACAAUAUCACAAAAUGUAUGAAUGUGUGUGUGUGUGUGUACUGUAAAGUAACAACAUUAUAAUAAUUCUAAUAAACACAGUUAAUGAA